rnacentral:misc_RNA from 1 species
UCUCGAUCGAAUUGUAGGCUUUGGAGGGUCAUUUUAGGGUUCUGUAAUACUAAUUUCAACCUAAACUUGGUAAAAGCGGACAAAAAUACCAAGUUUAGGCUGAAAUUAAGGUUUCGCUGUACAGCUUGGGUUAAUCUAAAAAACUAAUUUCAGCCUCCUUACCCUCGAGUAGAAUUUGGAGGCUGAAAUUAGUUUUUUAAUUUUGACUCGGGAAUUGCCUCGCGUUAUUUAUUCUCUGCUACUAAGUACUAUAAAGUGACAACGAUUGGACGACUUUAUGAUAGUCGAGUGCUCUGAUGGCGCUGAUUAUGUAUGGCAAAUGGAAAGUCGACAUCUUGAUCGUGUUUUGCAUAGAAUUAUUGCUGAAGAAGUUUUGUUUGCUUGUAGUGAUAAUUCUAUAAUUACCGGUGAUGCUGCUGCUGGUGGAGAACAUGGUCUCGCUAAUUCUACUGUUCAUGUCUUAAGAGGACUAAGACAUCGUAACUUGUCAGCUAUCCAACAUGCAACUCAACGAGGAUUGCACCAACUGCAACAGCUCCACAGUGGACAUGGUGACCACCAUGAAAGCCAACUGAAAACUAAAGACUAUCCACUAAAUAUCGAGAGAUUCCGAGGAAACGUCAAAGACCACAAAGGCCAUAUUUUGUUCUUCAACGUCGAAGCGCUUUACAAUUAUUGAGCGACGAGUACGGCUCGAUGUCUCCUGGAUCAUUAGAGGCACAGGGCUUGAUUUCAGCCUCCGAGUACCAAAAAGUUGCGGCCUUCACUCAAUCCUGAUGCUCAUAAAAAAAUUGCAGAUUUUGUCGGCCGUGUCAAGGACAAGGCCGGUGAUGUCGAAAAACUUUUAAAAGAGAAAGAUCGCCAUGGUAUCGAUUUAUGUCGUUGAUAUUUAAUUUUUUUUUUUUGUUAUAGACACUAUUUUU